GACGGAGGAUGCAAGCGUUAUCCGGAAUGAUUGGGCGUAAAGCGUCUGCAGGUGGCAGUUCAAGUCUGCUGUCAAAGACCGGGGCUUAACUUCGGAAAGGCAGUGGAAACUGAACAGCUAGAGUAUGGUAGGGGCAGAGGGAAUUCCUGGUGUAGCGGUGAAAUGCGUAGAUAUUGGAAAGACCACCGAUGGCGAAGGCACUCUACUGGGCCACUACUGACACUGAGAGACGAAAGCUAGGGGAGCAAAUGGG
rnacentral:rRNA from 1 species